UCAUACAACUAGCUGCACUUGUCAGAACUGAAUUGGUAUUCUUGUCUAUUCUUGUAACAGACAACCUUGCUGCACAUGAAAUUAGUGGAAUGAUGGAGAGUUUUGUUGCCACUCGUAUUUGCCGGUUUUGCACAACAUCAAGAGAAGACAUUCAAGGGAAAUUCACUGAAUGUGAUUUCCAGAAAGGCAGUACGGCAUCGUAUUACGCUGCUGUAUCGACUGUUCAAAGUGACCAAUCCAGAGCUAAGGUAAUAUUUGGUCUUGAGGCCAAGCCAUAUACUCUGCAAGCAUGGGAUGUGGAGUUUGAGGACUGGUGCACCAUUACUUUAACCCGGUUGCCAGACAAGGCAAAAGUGCGUUUCAUAGUGAAUGACUCAACAGCACCAUCUGAAACACUAUCAACAACUGACUCGACCAGCAAUAAUCCUGAAGGGACCAGAGUGGAAUUUGAGCAUUCUCCAGCUGAAGGGGACACAACAGACCCUGCAGUUAACAUAUGCAGCGUACACUACUCCACCCACUGUUCACCUACACAGGAAGCCUAUAGGACAUGACAUGUUAGAUCCUGAGAUUGAUUCCAACCUUGCUGUCUGGGUUGAGGGUGAGCGUCUAUCAGAAUCUCUGUGCGUGAUAGACACUAUUUGCGAAGUGAUUGCCACCUAUUAUGUUUUUAACACCGCGUAUCCAAAAGAACUCAACCGAACUCUAACUUUCGUAUGCAGAUAAAUUUGCAAGAUAACACAAGCAUUCCUGCCCGUGUUCUUAGGACAACAAAAACAAAUAACUGUCUUGUUGGUCAAUGUUAGAACU